rnacentral:RNase_P_RNA from 1 species
GCAGCAGGACGGCUUGCCGCUGGCGCGUGGCGCACACAUUACUAUAUAUAUAUGAUGCGUGCGUGCGCGCAAGAGGAAAGUCCGGGCAACACAGGGCAUCCCGCUUCCUAACGGGAAGAAGGCCGCGAGGCUUAGCAAGUGCAGAAGAAAAGAACCGCCCGACGCGGUCGGGUAAGGGUGAGAAGGUGAGGCAAGAGCUCACCAGGCGUGUGGCGACAUGCGUGCUGUGCACACCGGGAGUUGAAAGUUCAUGUAAACCGGCGCUGCAUCUGUGCCAGACAAACUGGAACUGGAUGCGGAGAGGGCUGCCCGCCCGAGUCGGAGGGUAGAACGAGGUGGACAUCGCGUGCACGUCAAGGCAUACGGGUGUCGCGAGGUCAACGGUGACGUUGGCUCAGGAUAAAUGGCAGGCACCUUGCUUCGAGCAAGGCACAGAACCCGGCUUAUAGUUCGGCUGCGAGA